AAGGAACUCUUGAAUGGGAUCCUAUGAGAAGUUGAAGGAAAGAUCUUAUUCCAGUGAUUAAUAUCCGCUUGAGUAACCCAAUCUGAGUCUGAUUUUUUUCGUUAACAAUUCAGGUGUUUAUUUUGGAUGGUCCGGAGUUUUUGGCUGCAACUAUGUUGGACAGAAAUAUGCUUGCUAUGGCUGGGAAUUGGUACCAUGUCGGUUGGUUUUGCUUGGCAAGAUUUGUGACGAUGCGUCGGACAAACAACAUUGGAAUAAGAUACAGCCUUGAGCCUUGGCAAGUUAACACAUUAGUUAGGGUUAUGAAGUUUUUCAUGACACCGACACAUUAUUGAGCAGUAGCG